UAGGGAAUCUUCCGCAAUGGACGCAAGUCUGACGGAGCAACGCCGCGUGAGUGAAGAAGGAUUUCGGUUCGUAAAACUCUGUUGUUAGAGAAGAACAGCGCAUAGAGUAACUGUUAUGCGUGUGACGGUAUCUAACCAGAAAGCCACGGCUAACUACGUGCCAGCAGCCGCGGUAAUACGUAGGUGGCAAGCGUUGUCCGGAUUUAUUGGGCGUAAAGCGAGCGCAGGCGGUCAAUUAAGUCUGAUGUGAAAGCCCCCGGCUCAACCGGGGGGGGUCAUUGGAAACUGGUUGACUUGAGUGCAGAAGAGGAAAGUGGAAUUCCAUGUGUAGCGGUGAAAUGCGUAGAUAUAUGGAGGAACACCAGUGGCGAAGGCGACUUUCUGGUCUGUAACUGACGCUGAGGCUCGAAAGCGUGGGGAGCAAACAGG
rnacentral:rRNA from 1 species